rnacentral:rRNA from 1 species
GAUGAACGCUGGCGGCGUGCCUAAUACAUGCAAGUCGAACGAGGUCUUCGGACCUAGUGGCGAACGGGUGAGUAACACGUUGGUACCUACCCCGAAGUGGGGAAUAACUGCCCGAAAGGGUGGCUAAUACCUCAUAAUACCGCAAGGUUAAAGCAGUAAUGCGCUUCGGGAGGGGCCUGCGUCCCAUUAGCUAGUUGGUAGGGCAAUGGCCUACCAAGGCGACGAUGGGUAGCUGGAUCGAGAGGUUGACCAGCCACACUGGGACUGAGAUACGGCCCAGACUCCUACGGGAGGCAGCAGUAAGGAAUCUUCCACAAUGGACGAAAGUCUGAUGGAGCAACGCCGCGUGCAGGAUGACGGCCUUCGGGUUGUAAACUGCUUUUAUACGGGAAGAUUAUGACGGUACCGUAUGAAUAAGGACCGGCUAACUACGUGCCAGCCGCCGCCGUAA